GACGAACGCUGGCGGCGUGCUUAACACAUGCAAGUCGAACGGAAAGGCCCUGCUUUUGUGGGGUGCUCGAGUGGCGAACGGGUGAGUAACACGUGAGUAACCUGCCCUUGACUUUGGGAUAACUUCAGGAAACUGGGGCUAAUACCGGAUAGGAGCUCCUGCUGCAUGGUGGGGGUUGGAAAGUUUCGGCGGUUGGGGAUGGACUCGCGGCUUAUCAGCUUGUUGGUGGGGUAGUGGCUUACCAAGGCUUUGACGGGUAGCCGGCCUGAGAGGGUGACCGGCCACAUUGGGACGGAGAUACGGCCCAGACUCCUACGGGAGGCAGCAGUGGGGAAUAUUGCACAAUGGGCGGAAGCCUGAUGCAGCAACGCCGCGUGCGGGAUGACGGCCUUCGGUUUGUAAACCGCUUCCGCCUGUGACGAAGCGUGAGUGACGGUAAUGGGUAAAGAAGCACCGGCUAACUACGUG
rnacentral:rRNA from 1 species